rnacentral:rRNA from 1 species
UGAAAGGUUCCGAGCUGAGUAUGUCUGGGAACUGCCUGAUGGAGGGGGAUAACUACUGGAAACGGUAGCUAAUACCGCAUAACGUCGCAAGACCAAAGAGGGGGACCUUCGGGCCUCUUGCCAUCGGAUGUGCCCAGAUGGGAUUAGCUAGUAGGUGGGGUAACGGCUCACCUAGGCGACGAUCCCUAGCUGGUCUGAGAGGAUGACCAGCCACACUGGAACUGAGACACGGUCCAGACUCCUACGGGAGGCAGCAGUGGGGAAUAUUGCACAAUGGGCGCAAGCCUGAUGCAGCCAUGCCGCGUGUAUGAAGAAGGCCUUCGGGUUGUAAAGUACUUUCAGCGGGGAGGAAGGGAGUAAAGUUAAUACCUUUGGUCCUUGACGUUUCCCCCCAAAAAAACACCCGGGUACUCCUGGCCAAACCCUCGUAAAAUCGGGGGUUGCACCUUUAAGCGGGGGGUGGGGCGUAAACCCCCGCAGGCGGUUUGUUCCUCAGAGAGAACUCUCUGGCUACUUC